UUUCCAGGAACAUUUUUGGGCAUUUUUGGCAAUCUCGGGGCCGUUCCGUGUCCCCCCGCAGGAGGAGCUGUCGCGGCUGCGCCGGAAGCUGGAGAAGCAGCGCAAGGUCGAGGUCUACGCCGACGCCGACCAGAUCCUGCAGGAGGAGAUCAAGGAGUACCGGGCCCGGCUGACCUGUCCGUGCUGCAACGCGCGCAAGAAGGACGCGGUGCUGACCAAGUGCUUCCACGUCUUCUGCUUCGAGUGCGUCAAGAGCCGCUAUGACACGCGCCAGAGGAAGUGCCCCAAGUGCAACGCGGCCUUCGGCGCGCACGACUUCCACCGCGUCUACAUCAGCUGAGCGCUGGAGGUCACCCCGUGGUGACCGCUGGUCAUCUGUGGUCAUCUGCAGUCAUCUGUGGUCAUCCUUGGUGACCACGGCCACCAAUGACCACCCGUGGUCAUCCAAUGUCCAUCCUUGGUGACCAACGACUUUCACCGUGUCUACGUCAGCUGAGCGCCGGAGGUCACCCUGUGGUGACCGGUGGUCAUCUGCGGUCAUUUCUGGUCAUCUGCGGUCAUCCUUGGUGACCACGGCCACCGAUGACCGCCCCUGGUCAUCCAAUGUCCAUCCUUUGGUGACCCAUGACUUCCGCCACGUCUAGGUCAGCUGAGCACUGGAGGUCACCCCAUGAUGACCAGUGGUUACCUGUGGUCAUCUGUGGUCAUCUGUGGUCAUCCUUGGUGAUCACGGUGAACUGUGACCACCCAUGGUCACCCAGUGUCCAUCCCAUGGUGACCAAUGCCCAGCUGUGGUCACUCUGUGUCCCUCAGUGACCAAUGCCCAGCUGUGGUCACUCUGUGUCCAUCUUUAGUGACCAAUGCCCAGCUGUGGUCACUCAGUGUCCACUCUCAGUGACCAAUGCCCAGCUGUGGUCACUCUGUGUCCACUCUCAGUGACCAAUGCCCAGCUGUGGUCACUCUGCGUCCAUCUUUAGUGACCAAUGCCCAGCUGUGGUCACUCUGUGUCCAUGCCAUGGUGACCAAUGUCCAGCUGUGGUCACUCUGUGUCCAUCUUUAGUGACCAAUGCCCAGCUGUGGUCACUCUGUGUCCAUCUCUAGUGACCAAUGCCCAGCUGUGGUCACUCUGUGUCCAUCUUUAGUGACCAAUGCCCAGCUGUGGUCACUCUGUGUCCAUCCUCAGUGACCAAUGCCCAGCUGUGGUCACUCUGUGUCCACCCCAUGAUGACCACUGACCACUGAUGUCCACCCGUGAUGACCAAUGACCACCGAUGACCACUGAUGACCACUGAUGACCACCCCACCCUGACCCUGUGGUCACUCCUGGCCAUCUCUUGCUGACCAAUGGCCGCUCUCCGGCCGCUCCCUGCUGACCACUGACCACCUGUGGUCACUCUGUGUCCAUCAUUGGUGACCACUGACCACCUGUGGUCACUCUGUGUCCACCCCAUGGUCACCAAUGGUCACGGCCACCCCAGGCCACCCCUGACCACCCCUGUCCACCCCAAAGUGACCACUGACCACCCCAAAGUGACCACUGACCACCCCAGAGUGACCACUGACCACCCCUGACCACCUCAAGUGACCUCUGGUCACUCUGAAGUGACCAAUGGUCAUUCCUGGUCACCCCAAACUGCCCCCUGGUCACUCUGGUCACCCUAAAGUGACCACUGGUCACUCUGGUCACUCAUGGCCAUCCCAAAAUGACCACGGGUCACUCUGGUCACCCUAAAGUGACCCCUGGUCACUCUGGUCACUCUUGGUCACCCUAAACUGACCCCUGGUCACUCAUGGCCACCCCAAAAUGACCCCUGGUCACUCUGGUCACUCUAAAGUGACCAUUGCUCACUCUGGUCACUCUGGUCAUUCUAAAGUGACCACAGGUCACUCUGGUCACUCUGAAGUGACCACUGGUCACUCUGGCCACCCCAAACUGCCCCCUGGUCAUCCUGGCCACCCCAAAGUGACCACUGGUCACUCUGGUCACUCUAAAGUGACCAUUGCUCACUCUGGUCACUCUGGCCGCCCCAAACUGCCCCCUGGUCACUCCUGGUCACCCCAAACUGCCCCCUGGUCACUCUGGUCACUUGUGGUCACUCCUGGUCACUCGUGGUCACCCCCGUGUCCACCCCGGCCCCUCCCCAGCGGUCGCCGCCCCCUGACCUUUGACCUCGCUGUGGCCCCGCCCCCUUUUCCCCUUUCCCAGCCAAUAAAAUCGCUCGGAGUCGUU